rnacentral:tRNA from 1 species
GCGGGUAUAGCUCAGUGGAAGAGUGUAUGCUUAGCAUUUAGCAUGCACAAGGUCCUGGGUUCAAUCCCGAGUACCUCCA